AUGUCUUAUGUGUCCAGGCCUCCGAGUCCUUUUCUUCCUGAAGUUGCGUUCUGACCCCUGUGACCAGUAAUGCCAUGUUGAUACUUGAAGUCCCUUAAACACUGUGUCUCAUUUUUUAUCCACCAACAAUGCUAUUAAACUGUUGCAGAAAAGGCGUUGAAUCAAGAGUAGCGUGACCUGGGAAGCAAUACUUCAAGUCUGUUCUGCAUUGAUGAGAUUGCAAUUGAAGCAUGCAUCCAGAUUUGAAUCCUUCAGGCGUUAAGGAGGGAGGACUGCAUUUCUCAUGAGGCACAACAUUUUGAGAGGGGUGUUUCUGGAUGGGGGAGGAAGCAAAAAAACAGGAGUUUCACUUGAAAAAUGGACGCCCGUUGUCAGAGAGCUCUUGUACAGCUGGUAUUGGAGUGUAUAUACAUCCUCUGGGGACAUUUAAGUCUGUAGGAAAGAAUCGCCGAGACUCAAUGGCUGUUCCUUUGGUGGAGACAUCCAUAUGCUUCGUGGCUAUGUGUCAUGCAGAGUGGGGAAGAGAAGCCUUCUCAUGUCUCGUGCCUCCAAGCAUGCACGUGAACACACACACACACAUGCACACUCAGACACAUGCACCCUCAGACACGCUAUGCUUUUCACUGCAUCCUAGAGAGUUGGCUGGUGCUUUCAAGUGUUUAUGUAACACCGUCAUUGCUAGUUAAUGCAUUGGAAACGCUGAACAGCAAUUAAAUAGCAAUUAGUAAGCUGAA